rnacentral:rRNA from 1 species
UUGCUCGGAAUCACUGGGCGUAAAGGGCGUGUAGGCGGAUUUGCAAGUCAGGCGUGAAAUCUCUGGGCUCAACCCAGGAAUUGCACUUGAAACUGCAAGCCUUGAGUGUCGGAGAGGAAAGUGGAAUUCCUGGUGUAGAGGUGAAAUUCGUAGAUAUCAGGAGGAACACCGGUGGCGAAGGCGGCUUUCUGGACGACAACUGACGCUGAGACGCGAAAGCGUGGGGAGCAAACAGG